rnacentral:lncRNA from 1 species
UUCAUUUUAAGCUCGUAAUGCCAAUCUAUCUAUCUACUUUCUCAUUUCAACCAGCAAUUGCUGCCAUUCCUCCACUUUCCAAUUGCUCUCUAAAAUUCAUCACUCGUCUGAACUCAAACAAGGUAUCAGGCAUUCAGGUUUAUCUUUCUGUCUCGCUCUCUCUGACGCGCACAUACAGGUAUUUGCCCAUGUGAAAUACUGUCUUACCUUUUGAGUCCUCCAAAGAGAUGAGUUUGAACACGUCUAGAACCAUUAUAAACCCUAUAAUCCUAAAUUUGUAUACUAUUGUAUAGAAAAGUAUGAGCAUGUCAAAAAAUUCAUUGGAUCUAUUAGCAUGCCAAAGAUUUAAGAUAUAAAAUAUCAAUAUACUUAUGUGAAUAGGUGGUAUAUGCAUGAACCAAAUUAAAUUGGGUUUUUUUUUUGUCUAUUUAAGGUCAUAGUUAUAUUGUAGAAAUCACAAGGAAUGUUUUGGUAUAAAUUUUAUGAAUUUUGGUGAAGAUUUUAGUGAUGUUUAAAAAUAAAACCGUGGCUACAUUUUACCAUUUUGACCCCUUUUCGUGCAUUUUUGUGAAAAACCAAGCCCGAAAAAGGACUCUAUGCAAAAAAUCGAGUGGGGAAGUGUAUUUUGAUGAGUUUUUAUGACCGAAGAGAUCGCCGGCGAUCGGUGACGGCGGCAACGGUGUUUGCCAUGGACGUCGGCAACCUGAACUUCAGUCCACCUGAGAAGAAGAAGAAGAAGAAGAAGAAGAGGGAAGAAGGAAAAGAGAGAGAGAGAGAGAAAGAAAAAGGAAAAAAAAAGAAAAAAAACAUUGGGCUGGAUUUUUUUUUAUUAAAUUUUUGGUGGGAUUGCAUUUUUUUUCUCUUUGGGCUUGUGGUUCGCCUUUUGGAACCAAAAAUUUCCAUUCUAUUUAAGUUUUCAUUAUUCUUUGGGCUUGCUUGGUUUUUUUCAUGAAUUUGCCUGCAUUUUUGUUUUGGUCUUGAAUAGUCCGCCCCAAGUCCUAAGAUGAUGGCCCAAUUUUGUUUCUAGAUUCUGGCCCAAAAUUAUACUGUUUAUAUUCAGUCUAAAAUGGAAACUAGAUUUUGCAAUUAGUCUCCCAAUCUUUUGAGUAAUUUUACUAUGGCCUAAAGAAUUUUAAUUGCUUUCAUUUAGGCCUAUAAUUUAAUUACAUUUUGGUCCACAAACUUUAUCUUCAUUUAAUUUUGACCCAUAAUGUUUUAAAAAAUUAUUAUUUGACCCUAAAAACUUUCUAAUUUUUACAAUUUAGUCCCUAAUAGUUUUUGAUUUUUCAAUUAUAAUUAUUUCCUUCCUUUAGUUGUUAAUUGUGCUUCUCUUGCAUGCAUUUAAAUUGUAAAUUUUGAGUGUUUUGAGUUUGUUUACAUUUUUUAAUAUAAUAAUGUGAAUCUAGUACUUAUUAUCUUUAAUUUUAAGUGAAUUGGUACCAUAAUCCUUUUGUUAAUUUUGAGUAUAGAUAGGGUGACUUUACCUCAUUUAGUCACCAUUUCAAAAGGGAGGUACCCUUAUUGCCCUUAAUUUUGAUUAUAUGUUCUUAUCUGCUCCUACAUACUCCUAUAUGUUGAUAUGUUUUUACAUGAUUUUUGUUAUUUAUUUAAUUCAAAUGCUUAUUCAAUUUUUUUAAUGUUUGUUUAGUUAAUUUUGUAAUUAUUUGGGAGGUGCUUAAAUACCUCAAGAUGUAAUAGAUAGGUAAUAAUUUUAUUUAUUUUUACAAAAAUUAUAAUUAGAUAGACAAAUGUAAUAGAUAGGAUAGAUUGAUUUAUUUUAUUAUAUUUUCUCCCAUUUUACAUUGUAGUUUGGUCUCAGCUGUAAUAGAUAGGUUUUGUGUGUUUAUGUGACUUAUGUGUUUAUAU